rnacentral:rRNA from 1 species
GACGAACGCUGGCGGCGUGCUUAACACAUGCAAGUCGAACGGAAAGGCCCUGCUUUUGUGGGGUGCUCGAGUGGCGAACGGGUGAGUAACACGUGAGUAACCUUCCCUUGACUUUGGGAUAACUUCAGGAAACUGGGGCUAAUACCGGAUAGGAGCUCCUGCUGCAUGGUGGGGGUUGGAAAGUUUCGGCGGUUGGGGAUGGACUCGCGGCUUAUCAGCUUGUUGGUGGGGUAGUGGCUUACCAAGGCUUUGACGGGUAGCCGGCCUGAGAGGGUGACCGGCCACAUUGGGACUGAGAUACGGCCCAGAAUCCUAAGGGAGGCAGCAGUGGGGAAUAUUGCACAAUGGGCGGAAGCCUGAUGCAGCAACGCCGCGUGCGGGAUGACGGCCUUCGGGUUGUAAACCGCUUUCGCAUGUGACGAAGCGUGAGUGACGGUAAUGGGUAGAGAAGCACCGGCUAACUACGUG